rnacentral:rRNA from 1 species
UACGUAGGGUGCUAGCGUUGUCCGGAUUUAUUGGGCGUAAAGGGCUCGUAGGCGGUUUGUCGGGUCUGCCGUGAAAGUCCGGGGCUCAACUCCGGAUCUGCGGUGGGUACGGGCAGACUAGAGUGAUGUAGGGGAGACUGGAAUUCCUGGUGUAGCGGUGAAAUGCGCAGAUAUCAGGAGGAACACCGAUGGCGAAGGCAGGUCUCUGGGCAUUAACUGACGCUGAGGAGCGAAAGCAUGGGGAGCGAACAGG